rnacentral:tRNA from 1 species
GUUCCUGUAGUUAAAUGGAUAUAACGAGGGACUCCUAAGCCCUAGUUGGUGGUUCGAUUCCACCCGGGAACACCA